UCCGGUUUGUCACCGGCAGUCCCAUUAGAGUGCCCAACUGAAUGUAGCAACUAAUGGCAAGGGUUGCGCUCGUUGCGGGACUUAACCCAACAUCUCACGACACGAGCUGACGACAGCCAUGCAGCACCUGUGUCCAGGUUCCCUUUCGGGCACCCCUCCAUCUCUGGAGGGUUCCUGGCAUGUCAAGGGUAGGUAAGGUGGGGAGACGUUUACCGA
rnacentral:misc_RNA from 1 species